rnacentral:lncRNA from 1 species
GUGUUUAUCUCCAACAGGGUGUGUGUUAUCUCCAACAGGGUGUGUGUUUUAUCUCCACAUGUGGGUGUGUUUAUCUCCAACAGGGUUGUGUGUUUAUCUAAAACAUGGUGGUGUGAGUGUGUUUACUCAACGGAGGGGUGUGUUUAUCUCCAACGGGGUGGGUGUGUUUAUCUCCAUCAGGGUGGUGUGUUUAUCUCCAUCAGGUGGUGUGUUAUCUCCAUCAGGGUGGGUAUCUCGUGUGUGUUAUCUCCAACAGGGUGGGUGUCUUAUCUCCAACAGGGUGUGUGUGAGUGUGUUUAUCUCCAACAGGUGGUGUGUUAUCUAAAACAUGGUGGUGUGAGUGUGUAUCUCCAACGGGGUGGGUGUGUUUAUCUCAUCAGGGUGGUGUUAUCCACGGGUGGGUGUGUUUUCUCCAUCAGGGUGGGUGUGUUAUCUCAUCAGGGUGGGUGUGUUUUAUCUCCAUCAGGGUGGGUGUGUUAUCUCCAUCAGGG